UACGGAGGGAGCGAGCGUUGUUCGGAAUUACUGGGCGUAAAGCGUAUGUAGGCGGCUUCGUAAGACAGAUGUGAAAUCCCAGAGCUUAACUUUGGAACUGCAUUUGUGACUGCAAGGCUUGAGUAUCGGAGAGGUUGGCGGAAUUCCCAGUGUAGCAGUGAAAUGCGUAGAUAUCGGGAGGAACACCAGUGGCGAAGGCGACUACCUGGCCUGUUCUUGACGCUGAGGCGCGAAAGCUAGGGAGCAAACAGG
rnacentral:rRNA from 1 species